rnacentral:lncRNA from 1 species
GAGCGAUGGCGCGGGUAACGCCGAGCUGCAAACCCGAUGAUAACUAAGGAGCGUUGGCGAGGGUAACACCGAGCCGCCGAGGAGAGAAGAGAGUGAAAUCGUUUGGGUGAGGAGAGGGACGGCGCGAGGAGUAGAGAGAGGCGCGAGAGAGCGACGGGGAGAGCGAGAGCUAAAGCGAGAGAGAGAGCGACGGGGAGAGAGAGCGUCGGGUAGAGAGAUAGGGAGAGAUAGAGACGGCCUGAGGGAGAGAGAGAGAGAGGAGAGCAUCGAGUAGAGAGAGGGACGGUUAGAGAGAGAUAGGAGGAGACAGAGAUGGGUUGGGGGGGAGGAGAGAGAGAGAGAGAGAGAGAGAGAGAGAGAGGAGGGAGUUUUACAGCUGUUUUAUUAAUUUUUACUUUUAUUUUUUUUUUCAGCGUCAAAACGUGGUUAGAGAGAGAUAGGGAGAGAUAGAGACGGGUUGAGGGAGAGAGAGAGAGAGGAGAGGGGAUUCUACAGUUGUUUUUUUUUUUCUUUAUUAUUUUUUUUUUUUUG